CUGGCAGCUGCGGGCACCGAGGCCGGCAUGCAGCGGUUGCCUCUGAGCGCGAUGCUGAGCUCCCGAGGCCCGAGGGGCUGCAGCGCCUGCUGCUCAUCAACAACGCAGGUGAGACUCCGGUCCAGACCCCGGCUGCGAGCUCUCACCUCAUCGCCUUUUGGCCACUCUUGGGGAUGUUUCCAAAGGCUUCCUCAACGUGAAUGACCUAGCUGAGGUGAACAACUACUGGGCUCUGAACCUGACCUCCAUGUUCUGUUUGACCUCCGGCACCUUGAAUGCCUUCCGGGAUAGCCCUGGCCUGAGCAAGACUGUGGUUAACAUCUCAUCUCUGUGUGCCCUGCAGCCCUACAAGGGCUGGGGUCUGUACUGUGCGGGGAAGGCUGCCCGAGACAUGCUCUACCAGGUCCUGGCUGCUGAGGAACUGAGUGUGCGGGUGCUGAGCUAUGCUCCAGGUAGGUGGGUGCUCCUGACAGUGCUGUCCCUAGACUUAGCUGGUACCUUUCUGCCACACCACCUCCAAUAGGAUCUGUGUGACAAGUGCCACAGAGUGAGGAGAUUGACCUCAAAAUGGGGAGGCCUCCUGGAAGCCAUUAUGGAACUCUUUGCCGGAGAAAAAAUUAUUGAGCUGUAGUUCUCAUGGUGAUCUAUCUGUUUUGUUUUUUCUUAUUCCUUUUCUUAUUUACAUGUUCUGAUAGCCUAGACCAAG
rnacentral:lncRNA from 1 species